UGCGCGUAAGCGGAGUCGAACCGCUAUCAAAGAGAUUUUAAAUCUCCCACCUCUGCCAAUUGGAUCAUACGCGC
rnacentral:tRNA from 1 species